ensembl:lncRNA
ACACACACACACACACACACACACACACACACACACACACACAGUUUCAUCACCUCCAGCUCUCAUCUCUUCAACACGCGUUGGACAUCUGGAAGUGUGUACUUUCAACAGACACUAGCAGACUUGCGCUAGCAAGGCCAAACACAUUAUAAACGGCCUCACAGUCACACACACACACUGAGAGCACAGGCUAACAUGCUCUGGAAUGAACAUCCUUUCAAUGGCCUUGGUAAUACACAGGUGAUGUAAAGAUGGGAAAGAAACUCAGCCCAUCUAUCACGCACCAACCUCAUCAUCAUCAUCAUCAUCAUCAUCAUGAUCAUGAUCUUCUCAUUAGAUGUCAUUAGCUUCUAGCCCAUUGUCUCCAGUGAGCAAAAUUACUUGUUAAUGCUAAUGUGAGAACAUGUUGAUGUAGGCAGCCUUUACCCUGAUGCUAGUGAGGUUAAAUGCCCCGCUAGUUAAUGCCUUUACCCUGCUGCUAGUGAUGUUAAAUGCCCCACUAGCUAAUGCCUUUACCCUGCUGCUAGUGAGGUUAAAUGCCCCACUAGCUAAUGCCUUUACCCUGCUGCUAGUGAGGUUAAAUGCCCCGCUAGUUAAUGCCUUUACCCUGCUGCUAGUGAGGUUAAAUGCCCCGCUAGUUAAUGCCUUUACCCUGCUGCUAGUGAUGUUAAAUGCCCCACUAGCUAAUGCCUUUCCUUCGCCUGAGUGGUAGCCUACCCCAUAUUCAAAAGCAGAGUAGGCUAAGUUAACAAAUAUUGCCUAGGAAAAGUUUUAUGCGUGAUAGCCCGGUGAGCAUCUCCGCUCCGCUGCGCAAAAACUAAAUGCUGUGUGUGUUUUGUGCCACUUAAAAUAUUUCUAAAUUAUGCCAGGGGACUAUUUUUCGGAAUAUUGAGAUUUCGGAAUAUCGGGCCUUCGGAACACUGGACCGUCCCCAAAUGCCCCACUAGCUAAUGCCUUUACCCUGCUGCUAGUGAGGUUAAAUGCCCCACUAGCUAAUGCCUUUACCCUGCUGCUAGUG